rnacentral:pre_miRNA from 1 species
UUUGAGGGGAAUGAAGCCUGGUCCGAGAUCAGUCGCAGGAUGUCUGAAUAUCAUGGAAUGGUCUCGAACCAGGCAACAUUCACCUCAAC